GUCCUUCUAGAUUCCAUGUUAAUAUUAAAGUAUAAAACAGGUGUCUUGUCCUUCUAGAUUCCAUGUUAAUAUUAAAGUAUCUUUUAGAGAGGUGUCCUGUCCUUCUAGAUUCCAUGUUAAUAUUAGAUCAAGUAUAAAACAGAGGUGUCUUGUCCUUCUAGAUUCCAUGUUAAUAUUAAAGUAUAAAACAGAGGUGUCUUGUCCUUCUAGAUUCCAUGUUAAUAUUAAAGUAUAAAACAGAGAGGUGUCUUGUCCUUCUAGAUUCCAUGUUAAUAUUAGAUAACGUUUAAAACAGAGAGGUGUCUUGUCCUUCUAGAUUCCAUGUUAAUAUUAAAGUAUAAAACAGAGA